UGAAGAGGGGAAAAGCCCAAAUUUGUAAUCUGGCUCUUUCAUAAGGGUCCGAGUUGUAAUUUUGAGAACUGUUUUCCGUGCUGGACCAUGUACAAGUCUGUUGGAAAACAGCAUCAUUGAGGGUGAUAAUCCCGUACAUGAUAUGGACUACCAGUGCAAUAUGAUACAGUCUCUAAGAGUCGAGUUGUUUGGGAAUGCAGCUCAAAGUGGGUGGUAAAUUCCAUCUAAGGCUAAAUAUAGGUGAGAGACCGAUAGCAAACAAGUACCGUGAGGGAAAGAUGAAAAGAACUUUGGAAAGAGAGUUAACAGUACGUGAAAUUGUUAAAAGGGAAACAUUUGAAGUUAGACUUGUUAUUGUUGGCUCAGCUUCUUUUUUAAUUAGGAGUCUAUUCCAAUGGUUAACAGACCAGCAUCAAUUUUUGAGUGUUAGAUAAGGGUCUUGAGAAUGUGGCAACUUUGGUUGUGUUAUAGCUCUUGGCUUGAUAUAAUGCUUAGGAUUGAGGAACGCAGUGAGC
rnacentral:rRNA from 1 species